UACGAAGGGGGCUAGCGUUGCUCGGAUUGACUGGGCGUAAAGGGCGCGUAGGCGGUUCAUACAGUCAGACGUGAAAUUCCUGGGCUCAACCUGGGGGCUGCGUUUGAUACGUGCGGACUUGAGUGCGGAAGAGGGUCGUGGAAUUCCCAGUGUAGAGGUGAAAUUCGUAGAUAUUGGGAAGAACACCGGUGGCGAAGGCGGCGACCUGGUCCGAUACUGACGCUGAGGCGCGAAAGCGUGGGGAGCAAACAGG
rnacentral:rRNA from 1 species